rnacentral:lncRNA from 1 species
AAAACGUCCCGUUCUUACACACAGCUGACUGGAAUAAGGGAGUAGCUUAAGCACGGCUGCUCUUCAGGUGUGACCCGGAAGGGCCACAUUUUAUUCCUCGUACCACAGAACGACGCCUUCAGCCCCUCAGCGCGGGGGAGCGUUACCGCCUGCCCCGUGCCGGCCUACCUCACCAACGCGAUGCUUCCCCGCGCCCACAGCAGACAGCCGCUGUUUUCCGCCCGCACCGAACCGGGGCCGCUCCCGUCCGCCCGCCCGCCCGCCAACCCGGCCCCUUCUUCGCCAGGAAGGGCCGCAGCGCCCGGCGCUCACCCUCGCACUUCUGCUCCAUGAACUCCAGCACGGGGACGGACCAGGCAGGCCCGCGCAGGAACCCGGCGAUGCUGUCCACCACCCACUCCACAUCGGCCUCCUCCUCCUCCGCCGCCAUGGCCGGGCCGCCCAGCGCGGUGCUGGGGUUGGGGUCGGGUGGGGGGAGCGCGCGCGCCUUGCCACGGCAACCGGCGUCACGGGACCGCCGCGCGCUCCCGCGGUGCUGGGGUUGGGUGUGGGGGGGCAGAGGGCUGCCCUAAUGGCCUAUGCCCGUAAUCAGAUCAUGGCUUUAGGGGAGGGGCGGUCAGCCACCACAAAUGCGGCGGCAUUAAAAGAUAGAGUGGAAACGAGGCCUGGCGUGAGGUCACCGCUUCACGCGGCGCCGCGAUCGUAAAAGGGACUGCGUGUGCAGCGGGGCUGAGCAACGUUAGUUUAACUUCAGUCACUGUCCUCCCCCGCGGCGUGGCUGAAAGGCUGAGGUGCUCUCCUUAGUGUUUAAAUGGAUUCCCCUCCUGAUGCUUUGCUGCUUCAGUGUAACUGCAUCCCCGCCAAGGCCAUGAUGAAGGCAGCCCUUCCAGCUGGCUGCAUGGAUGCCAGAAGUGUCAGAUAAUGGAGAAUGGGACACCACAUCCCCCCCUCAGUUCUUGGAAGCCCUUCUCACCACCCACAUGGUGCUGGCAAGUCCCUGCUGAUGACAACUUCUGCAAGGCAGAGGCAAU